GUGCUUACACUGACGGCACGUAGACAAAAUUAGAAUGAAACAGAGAAAAUCAGCUUGGCUCCUGAUCAAGGACAAAUUUGUGGAAUGUCCCAUAUUUAA
rnacentral:snRNA from 1 species